GUUUUCCUAAUAGUCAUCACCAGGGUUUAGCCGCAGGCUUCGUUUCCUGCUUCUUUAUUUCGUCCUCUUGGGUAGCAUUAUCUGGUUUCUUUUCUCUAGUUUUCUGCCCUCUCUUUCUUUGGGUUUCACUGGUAAAUCUCAGCCGCCCCGGCCCCAGCACCCAAGCUUGGAGGAUAAGCAGGACAUCUUCACCUCUUCUUUUAAAAUCCUUAAAAGCGUUAGACUAGGCACUGGUCUUUGCUUUGAUAGAGGUUACUUGGGCUCCUGCCUGACUUUUUUUUGCUUGUUUGUUUGUUUCUUGUGUUCUGUGGAACUGUGGAGAGUAAAGAUUUGAAAUUGCUGCUACAGAGAGGGAGAGAGUGGGCAUGGAGGAUCCAGUUAAUGCUGUGGAUUGUGAAUUUCUAAUGUCAGCAGUUCGAAAAAUCCCAUGCCUUAGCCGGGCGCGGUGGCUCAUGCCUGUAAUCCCACCACUUUGGGAGGCCGAGGGGGGAGGAUCACGUGAGGCAGGGAGUUCCAGACCAGCCUGGGCAACAUGGCAAAACCCCGUCUCUACUAAAAAUACAAAAAUUAGCAGGGCGUUGUGACACACGCCUGUAAUCCCAGCUACUCGGGAGGGCUGAGGCAGAAGAAUCGGUUGAACCUGGGAGGCAGAGAUUGCAGUAAGCCAAGAUUGCUCCACUGCACUACAGCCUGGAGGACAGAGCAAGACUCCAUCUCAAAAAAAAAGAAAAUCCCAUGCCUUGUUUGUAGCAAUACUUGGCAAACCGUCUCACAAAUAUGGGUUCUCUACCUGGCCAGUGCCAUGUUGCCUGUUUCUUUACUGUACCUGUGGUGACAAAGAAAAGGGAAGAUGGAGCCUCCAUGUUGAACAUACCUGGCCCCCAGCACUAACUCCCUCUCUGGAUAUGUGGAACAAGGAGGACCUUAAACUUAACAAUAGAGCCAGUGAUGGUUCUACCAGUCUCCCCAAAGCCUCAAGUUUAAAAGCCAUAUGAACUGGCUGAUAGUGGAAAAUGGAAGCCAUGAGGAAAUCAGAUUAGAGUACUACCUGGUGAAGCCUUGAGGACCUACCAAGAAAAGCAAACUUGGAUCUUUGCAAGGUUAGAAGAACGAAUGGGAUCCAAGAAAAAGACUGGUCAUAUUCAACGGCUAAGAGCGUUGGAGAAGGCCUGUGGAGUCUCAGCAGGUCAGGUCCAUGACUCAUGAGUAGACACCUGUGUUUCUACUGCCUGGUGCCAUAAUCAUAAACAAGGAAGAAACUGAGGACAGGAGGGGCCAAACAAGUUACAGUUUCAUCCCUCCAGAGAGCCAACAGAGUAUUUUGCACGAAGUUGAAGCUAAACAGGUAUUAUGUCCUGUCUCUGGACUGAAUGACUAGAUGCUACUCAGCUUCUGAACUAGAGGAAGCCUGGGACCUUGACCGCACUAAUGCUGAUGACAGCGGAUUUGCAGGUGGCUAGAGGUACCAGAUUUAGCAAAUAAAAAUAUAGGAUGUCAAGUUAAAUUUAAGUGUAAGAUAAGCUACGAAUACCUUUUCUAGUAUUAGUACGUCCCAUGCAAUAUACUAGAAAUGUUAUUCGUUAUUUAUGUUAAAUUUAAUUUUAUUAGGGCAUCCUAUAUUUUACCUGUCAAUCCAACCCAUGACCUAAGCAGACACUGUAGAAAAACAAAAGGAGAAUUAAGGAGAUAAAUGAAACACAGGGUGAGCUGAAAAGAGGUGCUCUGUGAAUUUGAGGGUCCAGUAGGAGCUGACUUGUAGGUACUUGGUCUGUUUUGAUGCCCACAACAACCUUGGGGAAGGGGCGGAAUAGCAGAGGGGUAAGCUCUCUGCCCCCCACCAAGGUUCUGCAGGACACCAGGGCUUUUAUCAGCACCCCUAUGUUCACAUCCUGGCUGUACCCUCCUUGGUUGUAUAUACUCUGGAUAAUUCACUUAAUUUAAAUCUUGCUGCUUUUAUAAAAUUGAUAAAAAGUUAAUAGUGACACUG